GCGGAGCCAAGACCGAACGCAUGGGGCUUAAACUCCCUGGGGCGCGCAAGCCUGUGCGGGUUCGAAUCCCGCCGCCCGCACCA
rnacentral:tRNA from 1 species